CUUAAAGGAAUUGACGGGGGCCCGCACAAGCGGUGGAGCAUGUGGUUUAAUUCGAUGAUACGCGAGGAACCUUACCUGGGCUCAAAUGUAUGUUGACGUAUUCUGAAAGGGAUACUUCUUCGGACAAUAUACAAGGUGCUGCAUGGUUGUCGUCAGCUCGUGCCGUGAGGUGUCGGGUUAAGUCCCAUAACGAGCGCAACCCCUAUCAUUAGUUGCCAUCAGGUCAAGCUGGGGACUCUAAUGAAACUGCCUACGCAAGUAGUGAGGAAGGUGGGGAUGACGUCAAAUCAGCACGGCCCUUACGUCCAGGGCUACACACGUGCUACAAUGGCCGAUACAGAGGGCAGCUACCUGGUGACAGGAUGCAAAUCUCCAAAGUCGGUCUCAGUUCGGAUCGGAGUCUGCAACCCGACUCCGUGAAGUUGGAUUCGCUAGUAAUCGCGCAUCAGCCAUGGCGCGGUGAAUACGUUCCCGGGCCUU
rnacentral:rRNA from 1 species